UAGAUUUUGGAGGAAUGGCAGAGAGCAGAGGAAAGCUGAGGAGAAUUUCUAUUUUGCCCAGGGUAUCCUGACAGAAAAUGACCUCCUUAAAGACAGAAGACGGAUACAAAACACAAUGGCACGUCUUGGGGUCUGUAUGGAAAUUUUGUGGAAAACACAAAACUAUACCACUUCUCCCUCUGUGUGGCUGUGAUUUCAUAGAAAAGUUCUAGGGCUUGAGAAAUUCCUGGAAAGAGGUCAUUUGAUGACUGUUGAAGAUGGCAGAAACCUCACUUCUACCAAGGAGUUUAAUGUUAUUGUUGAAUAACUGAACUGCUGUAUUCAUCAAAUAUUCUGUCCUUAAAUAUAGUGGUUUUUCAAUAAAUGUAUAAUGAA